UCCCGAGUACUGGGAUUAAAGGCGUGCACCACCAUGCCCAGCUGUGUGUGACAUUCUUAAUGUGUUCUUGAACUCAGUUUCUGAGUUUAUUGUUGCAAAUGAUUGCACCUGUGAAACUGGUCCAUAGUGUUUUGCUGUCGUUGGACCCUAUCUGGUUUUGGCACCAGGGUAAUAUUGGCUUUGUAGAAUGUGUUUAGUAGAACCCUCCAAUCCUGUUUUGUGGAAUGAUUUGAGGAGCAUUAGUAUUAACUCAUUUUCAGAUUUUGAUAGAAUUUGCUAGUUAGUCUGUCUAUUGCUAGGCAAACUAAAAAGACUCUUUUUAAUUUAAUUAUUUUUUUUUUAAAUAGAGUCUUGAUCUCAUAUAUUCCAGACUGGCUUUGAACUCGCUAGUUAGCCAAGGCUGGUCUUAAAUCCUUGAUCCUCCUGUCUUUACCACCUAAAUUCUAGAAUGAUAGGCAUGAGCUAUCAUACCUGUUUUAUGUGGGGUUGGGGAUCAAACCCAGAGCUUUGUGCAUGCGAGACAAGCACUCUGCUGACUGAGAUCCCGCCGCAGGACCGAUGUCGGGAAGGCUCCUUAAAACUCUUUCAAUCUCCUUGUUUUCUAUAGAUCUGUUUGAAUUUUUUACAUCUUCUUGACUUAAUUUUGGUAUGAGAUUUGUGUCUCAAGAUUUAUCCUUUUUUUUUUUUUUCAUUUUCCAAUUUUUUAAAAUGUAGUUUUCUAAAGAAUUCUCUAAGAACUGUCUAAAUUCCAUUUGCAUUUGUUGUAAUAUUCCUUGCCUCAUUCCUAGUUUUAUUGAUUUGAGUCCUCUCUCUUUCUUCUGGCUAGACCAGGGCAGACCAGGCCCUAUACUCAGUAACCUGGCCCACCUGUAGCAUGCUCCAGUUCUGCUGAGAGUUUGUCAAAGAACUGGCUCAUAGUUUCAUUGAUUCUUUGUGUUGUCCCUUAGUCCCCGUUUUACUAAUAGCUGUCCCAAUCUUAUCUCUUAUUGAACACUAUUAAGUAAAUAAAUGUUACUGUUAGGCAUGCAUUACAGUAUAAAUCAGAGUCCUUCUGACUGCUGAGAAGCUUGCUAAGUCACUAAUGGGCAGGACAGAUGGAUGGAGGACAUUUAUCAUCCUGGGGAAGACAUAGAGGGUUAGCAUGAGAUUUCAUCACAUUUCUCAGAAUCCUGUGCUGCAGGAGUCAUUUGUUUCUAGACUUCUUCAUUUAUGUCCUCAAGCCUUGGUCGAGCAUAGGUAUCAGAAGCCACAGAAAAAUGAAACUGUAACUAAAAGGAGUGACCGUGCCAGUCCCAGCCAUAGUGGCAGUGUUAGUGGUGACAACAGCCGCAGCAUUAUGCUGGUAUAUCUCCUUUCCUUCCUUCUUUCCUUAAAAUAUACCUUCCUGGAAGUCAGAGUCUACUAAGAUGAGAAUCGGCUGCCUCUGAAGGAACACUGAGUUUCUUGUCACGUCAGCAACAACAUAGGAGAUGAUCUUCAAGCAUUGAGUUUGGGAUGUGUGGCUACACAGAUUACAGUAAGGGUUUGGGUUUUCCUUAAUCUUGUAGGUUGAGUCCAUCGGUGAGACUCUGAUCCUAAGAACCAAAUAUAAUUCCUGCCUGUUUAUUUUGGGAGAGAAACUGUAUACAAAAAAAAAGAAAGAAAGAAAG
rnacentral:lncRNA from 1 species